CGGGUGAGUAACGCGUGAGGAACCUGCCUCAAAGAGGGGGACAACAGUUGGAAACGACUGCUAAUACCGCAUAAGCCCACGGCUCGGCAUCGAGCAGAGGGAAAAGGAGCAAUCCGCUUUGAGAUGGCCUCGCGUCCGAUUAGCUAGUUGGUGAGGUAACGGCCCACCAAGGCGACGAUCGGUAGCCGGACUGAGAGGUUGAGCGGCCACAUUGGGACUGAGACACGGCCCAG
rnacentral:rRNA from 1 species